rnacentral:rRNA from 1 species
CUCUUCUUGAAUAUAUUUUGAUGUAUGGCCUGCCCACUGAAUAUUGAAGGGCCGCGGUAUUUUGACCGUGCAAAGGUAGCAUAAUCAUUAGUCUUUUAAUUGUAGGCUGGAAUGAAUGGUUUGACGAGGUGUUAACUGUCUUUAUUUUUUUUUUGAACUUAAAUUUUAGGUUAAAAUGCCUAAAUGUUUUUUUGGGACGAGAAGACCCUAUAGAGUUUUAUAUAUUUUUAUUUUUUUGUAUGAAAAUUUCUAAUGUAAAAAUUUAUUUUGUUGGGGUGAUGGAAAGAUUUAAUUAACUCUUUUUAUUUAUUUUAUAUUUAUUUAUAUGUAUUUGAUCCAUUUAUAUUGAUUAUAAGACUAAAUUACC